rnacentral:rRNA from 1 species
GACGAACGCUGGCGGCGUGCUUAACACGUGCAUGUCGAACGGAAAGGCCCUGCUUUUGUGGGGUGCUCGAGUGGCGAACGGGUGAGUAACACGUGAGUAACCUGCCCUUGACUUUGGGAUAACUUCAGGAAACUGGGGCUAAUACCGGAUAGGAGCUCCUGCUGCAUGGUGGGGGUUGGAAAGUUUCGGCGGUUGGGGAUGGACUCGCGGCUUAUCAGCUUGUUGGUGGGGUAGUGGCUUACCAAGGCUUUGACGGGUAGCCGGCCUGAGAGGGUGACCGGCCACAUUGGGACUGAGAUACGGCCCAGACUCCUACGGGAGGCAGCAGUGGGGAAUAUUGCACAAUGGGCGGAAGCCUGAUGCAGCAACGCCGCGUGCGGGAUGACGGCCUUCGGGUUGUAAACCGCUUUCGCCUGUGACGAAGCGUGAGUGACGGUAAUGGGUAAAGAAGCACCGGCUAACUACGUG